CAACCGAGACUAGUCAGCCGGGGAAGGCCCAGAGACUUGGCCCAGCACCGCCGGCCGGGACACCACGCCCGAGGUCAAGGCGGGUGGACCAAGCACGCUGCACCCGCUGUCCGCGCGCAGAGAUUAGGAGACGCUUCUAGCAGAACGACCUCCCUUCAUCUGGUGGCGAAGAUGAGGAAUCUCAUGGAAAAGUGGGAAAAGAGUGAGAAAAUCAGAGACGGGAAGAUUCAGAGACUUGCAGAGAGACGAGGAAAAGAGAAAGGGGCAGCGCUGGAGAGACGCGCAGAUAAGCGCGUGCAACCCCCCACCCCCUUUCAAGAUUCGGAGAUUUGAGGAUGGAAGACUCCACCCGCUCCACAACGUGCACACACUCAGAGUUAGGAAGAACUAACACAGACUGCCCUCCAACUCAGGGGUCUAACAGAUGUUCCCUUUUCAGUUGUCUCUUGAAAUCUGAAAUGCCUGCCUGAUUUUAACUCGGAUACCCCUCUCUCGCCCAUUCCUUUUCCAAAUCAGUUGGAACAUGUGUGCAAAUGUGCCCACAGCAUCUCCACCUACAUUCUUUACCAAACUGGGAAUAAAGAGGAAGGAACUAAUGCAGUAGAUUGGGAUAGAGAUUGCAUCAGGAAUCAGAACCCCCAAUUUCAGGAUUCCUCAGUCCGCUCUGGCCAUCUUCUGCACUGAAUCAUUUCAAGUGGGAGGCCCACAGGGACCAAAACAGAUAUACCUGGUAAACUUCCUUGGAAUUUCUAGCAAGAGUUUGCAGCAACUGGACCACCUCUCUCACAGAAGAUAUUCUCUCUGAUGGGCUCUCAUUUCUGGAGGAAUGGAUUUUAGAGCAAUGGAGGAGGAUGGGGACCUUGGAAGUUGCAGCUGAAACAAGCCAGAAUUCAGUGAAGUGACUGAUGCAGGGCUCAGAUCUCCCAUCCUGCAUUUCUCUUUAAUUGGAGCACUGACGCCCCCCUCCCCCCAUCCCAAACACACACAGUGGGAUCCUGAAGCACUACGUGGAUUGUCCCCUUGUAGUCUUCACCAUGUGGUUUUAUAGAAGGUCUCUGGUUCCAUGGUGUUUUUUAGUUGUAGCUCUCCUACUUAUCAUAAUCUCAGUGUUUAGGUUUUGGUGUCCGGAGGUGAAAGCUGCUGUGUUCAUAAGCUGUGACGUACAGAGGAGCUGGGACGAGUGAGGACUCAUCACAACUCAAAUUCAGAUGUGUUUCAAUGGCUCUGGCUGUGUAAAAAGUCUGGCAGUCCUUCCAGCUCCCCCAGCUUUCUACUCUAAACUUUGUAUGGACCAUGAGAGAAAGCCUCUGGCUAAUGAGGUAUGCUGAAGUCUGGGCUGAAGAAAUAAUAGCAUUUGUAUUGAGAACAAAGUGACCACAAAGCGUAGACAGUAUGGGUCUACAUUAGUAAUAACGAUAAUAACUAAUAUUUGUGGGCUGCUUAGUUUAUUUAGCAAUUAUGCCAAGCAGUUUUGUAUUGAUCAUCACAUUCAUUCCUUACAACAACCUUAUGAGGUAGGCAAUUGUCAUUUUACAAAUGCGGGGGCAGUGAGGUUUGGAGUGAUUAUGUCGUGGGCCCGAGGUCAUCUAGCUUCUAACCACUGGUGUGCAGAAUGAGUGGGAAAUUACUUUAGAUCACAUAGGUGGUAAGUAGCAGAGUCGGAAUUUGAAUCUAGAUGUGUCUACCUCCAAAUAUUAACUAGUACACUGAACUGGUGGUGACCAUAACUACAGGGUUAGAAUCCUCUGGAGAAAGAAAUAUAGAAUGUCCAUGUGGAACAUUUGAAAAAAAACGAGAGGAAAAUGCAGAGAUAAGAAAAGCAAAUAUAUUACAUGGGGGAUGGAGAAAGUCAGAAAUGUUUUACCUGCUAGAGAGAAGGAAAGGGAAAUGAUUGAAUUAAAGAGAACAGAAAAACCAAGCUCUACUAUUUGUCCUGGGCGGGUCAUUCUAGAAAAGAGAAUUCAGGGAUCAUUCUGAACAGUAGGAAAAUUAAUGCUCAGAUUGUCAGGUUGACCUAAGCCCAGUAUAAGAGCUCGGAAAUCUAGUUUACAAGAACUCUUUCCUAGAUACUCCCAGGGAGAAUAAGAUGUUGAAAUUGAGGUUUGAGUAGUUUUAUCUGGAAACCAAAGAGAAAUGCGAGUAAGGACUGAGUGACAAGGACAUCCACAUUGUAAAAGCAUGCAAAUGGAGUGAGGAGCAAAAUGUAGAAAACCUGUUAGGAAUCUGGUUAUUGUGCUAAACCACGCUGAACUCAAAGGAGAAAUGAAAUUUUACCUAUCAUUACCUACUUGUCUAGUUUGCACCCUCAUGCCUUUGUUAUUAUAGUAAAGUCAUUUGAAAUUUUAAGGAAGAUGACUUCUCGUGCUGAAGAAGAAACUCUGGGUGGAUGGGUGUCAGGAGACAAAGGGGAAAGAUAAUGAUCCCAAGGGCACAGUCUGUUGGUAGCAAUGCUAGACCGUAUACUAGUUGUUGAUGGUAGAAUGUGAGCCAGGGAAGAAUGCCAGGAAACCUUCUACAAGGUCCCUUUCAUCACAGCAGACCAGUUACUUACUGAUCCAAAAGGUUGUUCCCAAUUCAAGUUUGUCUCAUUGCCAAAAAUGAUUUAAAAUUGGCUCAUUUUGACCUUUUCCAGAAGGGACAGAUAAAUGUAAGUUGAUGUGUAGCUUCCCAAUUUUGUGAAGCACAGGAGAAGAAGAAAUGGGAGAAUCAAUACAGUUUCCUGUUUUCUGGCAAAAAUUCUUAUUUCUUUGUGUGAUGUGAGUAAGGUAGCAUGAGGAGUGGUUCAUAUAAUGAAAAAUGGUAGUUGAGUGUAUUUUAAACUUUCUUUAAAAAAAUUAAAAAAAAAUUUUUUUUUAAUGUUUAUUUAUUUUUGAGACAGAGGGACAGAGCAUGAA